rnacentral:lncRNA from 1 species
AGCUACAGUCAUUAGGAGAGGGCAGAGAGCAAUUCUAAUUACAGGAAGCAGACGGUAGAAGGGGGAAACUUUUGUAGUGUUUUAUUGUAAUUUAAGUAGGCUUCUGAGACAUGAGAAGCCGGCAAUAUUGUCAGAGGUUACUAGGAGUUUUCAUGCAAUCGCAAAUCCAUAUUUCUAUGUCCUAACACACAAUCUGGGAGAAGGGCAGCCAGAGGUAAGUGGCAGAACCAGGAGGAGGAAGAGAGCUAUUAGCUGGCUCUGGUUUGUCUCUCCCUCUUAUCAGAUUGUAACUUCACAGUAGCAGCUUCAACGGCAAACUCCUUGUAGCUCUUCAAGAUUAACUUUCAAUCCUGCCUCCCUACCCAUGGGAAAUUUCAGACACAUGAGAGCAGCUAACAAGGCGGAGGAGCAGUUCUUUCUGGAUGCAACGAGCUGUGUGGGAUCUCUCCAUGCCACAGCAUGGUUUCCUUUGUGUACAAGCCCUACUGAUUCCCGAGUGAAAUAGAGUAGGUUAAUUUGUCGUUUGCUAUUAGGAAGAUCCCCAAAAAAGAUCAAGACUUGCUGUGAAUGUUUGAUGGGUACCUGUCUGUGUCUUUUCCAAUUGGCUAAGAUUUCCUCUGCUAGCAUUUCAGACUUCUAAAAAAUCAGUCCCCACUCAACUAUUCCAUGCUGGUAGCCAUCCCAAACAAUGGCAUUGAAAAAACUGGAGUAAUUUGGGAUACAACUCAGCAUAAGAGAUCACAAUUGCUCUGCUGAGAUUAUUCUGGUUUUAUACCCACUUUAUGAAACUGCAAAAGAAAUAUGUCCACUGUUAGGAUUUGAAUUAUUAUUUUCUUUUUUUUUUUUUUUUUUUUUUUUUUGCGUUUCAACCAGCUUUUCCAACAUUUUAGAUGAUAUUUCCUGUUUUAAUCCAUCCGGGGUACAAUAGAUUAUUUUUUUCCUUGCAGUUCCCAGGGCAGAGUGAAGAAAAUGGGCAUCAAUUUAGAUUGUCUCUGCCAGGAAACAUGUAAUAAUGCUGUCAUUCUUAUGAAAACUCUGCAACAGCAGGCUCAGACAGCUACAAGGUGUCCAUAUGUCUGCAAUGGGGAAUCUGGCCAGCUCACAGAAACUGCUUCU